UUUGGUUUGUUACGUGUGGUUGGCUGCGGCGUUUGCAACAACUUCCAUGCUUUCAGACCUCUUCAGUUGUGCGGCAAGGCUUGUAUCGCCUUGAGCGUGCUGUGGGUUUUCUGUGUUGGCUACCUAAUCAAUGGUAUCGGUUGGAUUGAUCAAAGUUUGAUUUCGUCUUUNGUCGCAUUCGCGGCGUGAGGUGAACCUCGAUGCGGUCUCUUUGAUCCACCUCGUUGAAGCACAUGCCUUGACGUUGUGGCACAUUGAGCAUUGCUUGGUCUCUUGUAUACGGAACAUAUAGUGGGCAUGGAUCUAACGAUUCUCGUUUGCCCUCAUAUUAGCGUAACGCUUCUCUAACACGACUUGCGCCACGUUUUAG
rnacentral:misc_RNA from 1 species